GAUGAAGAACGUAGCGAAAUGUGAUACUUGGUGUGAAUUGCAGAAUCCCGUGAACCAUCGAGUCUUUGAACGCAAGUUGCGCCCGAAGCCAUCAGGUUGAGGGCACGUCUGCCUGGGCGUCACAUAUCGUUGCCCAAUGCCUAUUGCAGUGCAAUAGGAAUUUCUAGGGCGAAUGAUGGCUUCCCGUGAGCGUUGUUGCCUCGCGGUUGGUUGAAAAUCGAGUCCUUGGUAGGGUGUGCCAUGGUAGAUGGUGGUCGAGUUAGAACGAUACCGAUCAUGUGCAUGCUCCCCAAAAUAUGGCCUCUAUGACCCACACGCGUCUUUUGACGCUCAUGACGAGACCUCAGGUCAGGCGGGGCUACCCGCUGAGUUUAAGCAUAUCAAUAAGCGGAGGA
rnacentral:misc_RNA from 1 species